rnacentral:rRNA from 1 species
UACGAAGGGGGCUAGCGUUGCUCGGAAUCACUGGGCGUAAAGGGUGCGUAGGCGGGUCUUUAAGUCAGGGGUGAAAUCCUGGAGCUCAACUCCAGAACUGCCUUUGAUACUGAAGAUCUUGAGUUCGGGAGAGGUGAGUGGAACUGCGAGUGUAGAGGUGAAAUUCGUAGAUAUUAGGAAGAACACCAGUGGCGAAGGCGGCCCACUGGUCCGGUACUGACGCUGAGGUGCGAAAGCGUGGGGAGCAAACAGG